rnacentral:rRNA from 1 species
GAUGAACGCUGGCGGCGUGCCUAAUACAUGCAAGUCGAGCGAACGGACGAGAAGCUUGCUUCUCUGAUGUUAGCGGCGGACGGGUGAGUAACACGUGGAUAACCUACCUAUAAGACUGGGAUAACUUCGGGAAACGGGAGCUAAUCCCGGAUAAUAUUUUGAACCGCAUGGUUCAAAAGUGAAAGACGGUCUUGCUGUAACUUAUAGAUGGAUCCGCGCUGCAUUAGCUAGUUGGGAAGGUAACGGCUUAUCAAGGCAACGAUGCAUAGCCGACCUGAGUGGGUGAUCGGCCACCCUGGAGCUGAGCCGCGGACCAGGCGACUGCGGGAGGGAGCAGUAGGGAAUCUUCCGCAAUGGGCGAAAGCCUGACGGAGCGACGCCGCGUGAGUGAUAGAGGUGUUCGGAUCGGAAAGCUCUGUUAUGAGGGAAGAACAUAUGUGGAAGUAACUGUGCACAGCUUGACGGUACCUAAUCAGAAAGCCACGGCUAACUACGUG